AUUGAACGCUGGCGGCAGGCCUAACACAUGCAAGUCGAGCGAGCGGCGGACGGGUGAGUAAUGUCUGGGAAACUGCCUGAUGGAGGGGGAUAACUACUGGAAACGGUAGCUAAUACCGCAUACCAUCGGAUGUGCCCAGAUGGGAUUAGCUUGUAGGUGAGGUAACGGCUCACCUAGGCGACGAUCCCUAGCUGGUCUGAGAGGAUGACCAGCCACACUGGAAAGGAGACAAGGGCCAGACUCCUAAGGGAGGCAGCAGUGGGGAAUAUUGCAAAAUGGGCGCAAGGCUGAUGCAGCCAUGCCGCGGGUAUGAAGAAGGCCUUAGGGUUGUAAAGUAAUUUCAGCGGGGAGGCGUUACCCGCAGAAGAAGCACCGGCUAACUCCGUGCCAGCAGCCGCGGUAAUAC
rnacentral:rRNA from 1 species